GAUGGCAGGUAUUACAUAGCCUAGGCAGCUAUAACAGGUACCGUUCAGUAGUGAUGGCAAGUCCCAUCUGGAUGCUCACCUCUAUGUUCAUGCUGUUCACUUUGUCCAGAAGAGCAAUGAUCAAGCUGUAGAGAUUUCCUAGAUACAGUACUAGGACCCUGAAAAACACAAGCUGGCUUGAGAAACAAGAACAUCAUGCAGAAGACCAGAGCUGUCAUUGAAAAGCCCCAGAUUAUUUGGCAGAGGCUGCAGAUGACUAUGGUGGGCUUGUUCUCUGCCCCUGAGAGGCCUGCUGGAACCUAUCCUGCCAUUUCACUGGAGAGGAAAAUAAAGUUGGCCAUGUUCUUCCUAGUGUGACAGUGAGGGCAGUAGGUUAUGAGGGCACCUGCCUCUCCCUCAGGCUUUGAACCUCCGGCCUCGCUCCUGGGACAACACUUACCUCAGGAAGGACAACAAAGGCACCAGUCAUCACUGUGAGCACUAUGUUAAUUCCAAAUAACCACCUCAGGAAGAUGAAGUAGGAGGCCACACCAGAUCCAAAGUGACCUAUGGGAAGACAACAGAGAGUGGCUCUCUCUGCUCAGCCCUCACAGCACAGAGAGCUUUGUCACUCACCUUCACCAGCAGCACACACAGGAAGAGUGAUGUCACAUGGUAACCCUUCCCCCACCCCACCGUUGGUUGCUUAGCUGGGUCAGCACCCUGUGCCUGGUCCCUGGUUCUGUAUACAGAAAGACCAGCUCUAGUUGACCCAAACCCUGACAACCUCCCCAG